UACGUAGGGUGCAAGCGUUGUCCGGAAUUAUUGGGCGUAAAGAGCUCGUAGGCGGUUUGUUGCGUCGGCUGUGAAAUCCCGAGGCUCAACCUCGGGUCUGCAGUCGAUACGAGCAAACUAGAGUGUUGCAGGGGGAGACUGGAAUUCCUGGUGUAGCGGUGAAAUGCGCAGAUAUCAGGAGGAACACCGGUGGCGAAGGGCAGGUCUCUGGGCCACUACUGACGCUGAGAAGCGAAAGCAUGGGGGAGCGAACAGG
rnacentral:rRNA from 1 species